rnacentral:lncRNA from 1 species
UUUUGGUUUUGGAGGAACUGGUGGAGAAAGGAGGAGAUUUCCUCGGUCUCGGAGGGAGGCGGAGGUGGGUCGGCGGCAGUUGGGGACUGAGCUGCGCCGUACAGAUUCGCCAUGGAAAAAGGAGGAGGAGGGGGAGGAGAAAAACCGCAGCUGGCAGAUACUCUUUCUCUGCAGAAGGGGAAGCGCGAAGAGUGGGGCUGUUCUGGGUUCUCUUUUUCUGUGCCGACGGAAUUCUCUCCUCACUUUCUUCCUUCUUUUUUC